UACGGGGGGGGUAAGCGUUGUUCGGAAUUACUGGGCGUAAAGGGCUCGUAGGCGGCCAACUAAGUCGGACGUGAAAUCCCUCAGCUUAACUGGGGAACUGCGUCCGAUACUGGAUGGCUUGGAUUCGGGAGAGGAAUGCGGAAUUCCAGGUGUAGCGGUGAAAUGCGUAGAUAUCUGGAGGAACACCGGUGGCGAAGGCGGUUCUCUGGGCAUUACCUGACGCUGAGGAGCGAAAGUGUGGGGAGCGAACAGG
rnacentral:rRNA from 1 species